rnacentral:misc_RNA from 1 species
GUAAGCUGUACUUCCAGUUGGAGUGGCCACAAUGACACCAUCACCUUGCACCUUGGUUAUGAGGUGGUCAUGUUCAUAACACUCUAUUUUUGACAGGUAUGGAUUAGAACCACGAUCAACUACAACUUCAUUUAGGACAUCAAACACCUUUCCAGGCAUUGCUUUCCCACUUCGGAAUAUCUCACAUCGGAGACGCAUCCUUAGAGUUAUAUACACACCAUCUAGCGUGUUGUUUCCAUGGAUGACUUUUCUAAGAUCCUUCUUGUAAUCUUCAAAUGGAUGGGAAGUGAGAAAUCCAAGGGAUCCUAGGUUAAAUGAGAUGACGGGUGGAACAGCACCUCGAAAUAUAUUUGAUGCAUGGAGUAUCA